AGGUUUUUAUUUCACGAGGGGCAUCUAGGAGUUGCUGUUCCUCAGCAAGGCCUGGAAAUAAAGGGUCAGAAGAGAGAGAUAUAAGAGGAGAAGAGGUCCCCAGCUGUGAGAGGACAACCCCCUGUGCUUGAUGUGAAUAAGGAGAAGGAACACUGCUCUCUGGGAAGACUCUGCCGACAGCCUAAUUGUUGCUUCAAGGGGGACAGGGAUACAGAAUAGAUGGGGAAAUGGAGGCAUUGAGAGGUUGAGGAAGGAACGGAAGGCCGAGCAAUGACCCCGCAUGGGGUCAUCUGAUUCCAGCACCCGUGCAUUAGCCACUCACUCCACACACUGCUCCCGCCUCCUCCAGAGUUCCAGAAAGCUCUCUCCUGCUCUGGGUUUCAAAGCGCUCAUUUCUCCAGCUCCAAGAGGAUUUGAGAGAUGAAGUUCUGUCUUCUCUUAUGGGUCAAUCUGGUCUUCACUUCUCAGGAAGGGUAGAGAAGGCACAGGAAAAGAAUGUUCUGCUUCUAAGACUCAGUUUAUAGAGGGCCAGCCUUGGGACCCCCAGCAGCUUUUGACCCUAGGGCCAUGCUGUUCGUCUAGAACAUCCCUCCAAUCUAGAAAUGGUUCUUCACUUACCCAGCAACUACCGAGUCCUCACCUGGCGUUUGGAAUUUCAUACAUAUGAGCUCAUAUAAUGCUCACUGUGAGCCUGCCACAGGGGCUGCCACAGGGGCUCAUCUCCCACCUCAGUGGCCACUCCUCUCGCCUUCUGUCUGUCCAUCUGGUACAGGUUUGCUCAGGCUGUGGCCUCGACCCGCCUCUCUUUUUGUAUGAUGGCCUCUUCCAGAGUAAGUUGUUAUUGUAACCAUGUCUGUAGGCUGAUGACCACCAAACCUACCUCUCUGGCCCCUGCUAGAGUUUAAGGCAAGUUAGGUGCCUUCAUACUUAACUUGUCUAAAAUGGAUUCAGUAUUAUGUACCUGCCGCCGCAUUUGACUAGAUUAAUGACGUUAAUUAAUGGCAAUAAAGCAUCUA